GCCGUGACCUUUGUUUCUGACGAGACUGACGCCAAGACCCUGAACGAUGUGCAGGACCGCUUCGAGGUCAACGUGGCAGAGCUCCCAGAAGAGAUUGACAUCUCUACAUACAUUGAACAGUCCAGAUGAAAAUCGCUCCCUGACCAGUGAAGACGACGUGUCCGUGCCCCUCUGUCCUGGUCUUUUUUUGGAGAGGGAAAAUAAAAUAAUUUUUUAUUUCUAUUUUAAAUGCCUCUCCCUUAUCUCCCAGUUCAUUAAGCAUAACUUUUCAUUUCAUUUUUAUCCUAUCCUCCCGAGGCUGCAGUUUUAAUGUUAUUUUUCCUGUUAAUGGUGGUUGUUUCUAUUUUUGUUUAAUGAAAUAAUUUACAUUAAAAUGUUUUAUACAAUGUUA